UACAGAGGUCUCAAGCGUUGUUCGGAUUUACUGGGCGUAAAGGGCGCGUAGGCGGCGGGUCAAGUCGAGUGUGAAAGCCCCGGGCUCAACCUGGGAAUUGCGCUCGAGACUGGUCUGCUUGAGUUCGGGAGAGGAGAGUGGAAUUCCCAGUGUAGAGGUGAAAUUCGUAGAUAUCGAGAGGAACACCGGUGGCGAAGGCGGCGAUCUGGACGAUGACUGACGCUGAGACGCGAAAGCGUGGGGAGCAAACAGG
rnacentral:rRNA from 1 species